UCCAUUCUUAGGUCACAGAAUUUUCCACACUCCUUGACGGAGGUGCUUAACCCUUAUCCAUCAGCAUUCUCAGACAGCACCUCCGGUUAGGGACAGUAUCUGACCGUCCGACAUCCCUGCAGCCCCCAUGUGUCACACAGACUCAGCCUCAGGUAGAUGGUUUCCGUAGAUGGUGGCUUUCUUUGGACCCUUGACAUCAACCAGUUACUAUUUGAGUCUUGCUCUGUCACCCAGGCUGGAGUGCAGUGACGUGAUCUUGGCUCACUGCAAGCUCCGCCUCCCGGGUUCAAGCAAUUCUCCUGCCUCAGCCUCCCAAGUAGCUGGGAUUGCAGGUGCCCACCACCACACUUGGCAAAUUUUU
rnacentral:antisense_RNA from 1 species